rnacentral:lncRNA from 10 species
GUUUUAAAUAUUUAUUGGGGAAGCUUUUUAAUUGUGUUGUUAAAAUCUUCUAUAUUUUUACUAAAUAUUUUUUGUCUGAUGGCUUUAUUUCUUUUCUUUUCUUUCUUUUUUUUUUUUUUUUUUGAGACAGGGUGUUGCUCUGUCACCCAGGCUGGAGUGCAGUAGCACUAUCUUUACUCACUGCAACCUCUGCCUCCCAGGCUCAAUUGCUCAAUUGAUUCUCCCACCUCAUCCCCUCGUGUAGCUGGGACUACAGGCAUGUACACCCAGGGAUGCAAGGUGCCCAGACUGUGCAAAGCAAUGGCAGCUGCAUGGAGUCCAGAGAGAGCACCUGGAGGCCUGGAAGGCUUCCAAAAGAAAGUGAGUUUGCACUCCUCUGAGAUACAAGACAAGUAUUUGGAAGAUGCAGGAUUUUACUGAAGUUCUCAUGGAAGGCUUUGGGCCCACUGAUCCCAUCCAUGGGCAUUUUGUCCCCUCCACAAUCCAGCUGAGGGCUGGACUUCCCUGGGACCAUUCUCAGGGGUCACAGGCAUAACCUGUCCAUGCAUUAAAGGUUGGCGCAGAAACUUGGGGCACCUCCAGCCAUUAAUUCAGAUUCAUCUGUUUCAACGUAUUCCCAUCCACCCACAGACUACUGGGGGCCACCCAGAGGCCUGAGUUUCCACCAGUUUCUCACAUGAGAGAAAGCUGAAGGAAAAGGUAUGAAGGCGGAUUUCACUGUUGACAGGUUGUCUUUCAAGUGUGGGUCCUGGCGUUUAUGAGGCAAUGAUGAGACACCUAGAAAGAAGCACAUCUCUGAGACAUGACAGUUCAGUCCCAAAGGCCAUUAAUAGAGGGCCAGCUCAUCAACACAGCUGCAGAAACAGAGCACAGCCAGCCUCGCAGCCCCACACGCUGAAGCCCCCGCUGCAGCAUUCCAUCUACUCUAGCGCCCAUGCAAAUUGAAAACCUAAAAUAGUUCACUCCCCAUAGCCACUGGCUUUGAAGAAUCUCUUUUGUCUCCAUGAAAUAGCUCCAGGAGACAGAACCCAGAGAAAAACUUUUUGAAGUGAACUUUUUCCUUAUAAUUUUAUUUAAAUUUGAAUAUUUUUGUAGAAAUAAUAAAGUUA